rnacentral:rRNA from 1 species
GACAGAGGUGCCAAGCGUUAGGCGGAAUCACUGGGCUUAAAGCGUGUGUAGGCGGAUCGUUAAGUGCCUUGUGAAAUCCCAUGGCUUAACCAUGGAACUGCUCGGCAUACUGGCGGUCUUGAGCCAUCUAGGGGCUACCGGAACAAAUGGUGGAGCGGUGAAAUGCGUAGAUAUCAAGAGGAACACCAGUGGCGAAGGCGAGUCCCUGGACAACACCUGACACUGAGGUACGAAAGCUAGGGGAGCAAACAGG